CGGACUGAAGCGAUGUUCUCCUGUCAGCUGUGAAGCUGCCGGGAGGAUCGUGCGUAUCGCUAACAUAGGUUUCUAUGUCAGUGAUGGGCUGGUUGAAGUGCUGCAGUUCUAGGGGGCCCAUGGAAUAGGACAGUCUAGUGAUGGAUGUUGUCCCUCACUGAACACCAAUGAAGUUUGGGGUUCUGUUUGGGCCAGAAGAAACCCUGGAAAAAUUUUCAUUUUGGUCUAAGCCGAAUAGCGAAGAAAAGAAAAAGUGGACAACUCUGAUUAUAGAAGGCGCCCCCCUGUGAAGAUGUCUCCUGUGGGUCCUGAAACAAAACUACACUGUAAACAUUUAUACGGUCUGCAGAGCGCUUGUGUACAGUGGUAGCUACCACCAUGUGGUCGCUGUAUUGGGGAAUAUUGAUCUUUGUAUGAACAUAGAACACACUGACUUAACUGGGACACUGACAGCCGGUCACCCACACUAACUGGAUGGUACAUAGUAAUAGUGUGGGCAACCCUGAUUAUAACAAUGCAUAGUGCAUUCCCUAGCCCUGAGUGCACUGCUAUGCCCUAGAUGGUGUAUUAGUGUACCAGUGCACUUGGGGCUAAGGAACAAAAGAAGAUCAUUUACAAAGCGACUAUGUAAACAGGGC